rnacentral:rRNA from 1 species
ACGCUGAGAGAGGAGCUUGCUCUUCUUGGAUGAGUUGCGAACGGGUGAGUAACGCGUAGGUAACCUGCCUUGUAGCGGGGGAUAACUAUUGGAAACGAUAGCUAAUACCGCAUAACAAUGGAUGACACAUGUCAUUUAUUUGAAAGGGGCAAUUGCUCCACUACAAGAUGGACCUGCGUUGUAUUAGCUAGUAGGUGAGGUAAUGGCUCACCUAGGCGACGAUACAUAGCCGACCUGAGAGGGUGAUCGGCCACACUGGGACUGAGACACGGCCCAGACUCCUACGGGAGGCAGCAGUAGGGAAUCUUCGGCAAUGGGGGCAACCCUGACCGAGCAACGCCGCGUGAGUGAAGAAGGUUUUCGGAUCGUAAAGCUCUGUUGUAAGUCAAGAACGGGUGUGAGAGUGGAAAGUUCACACUGUGACGGUAGCUUACCAGAAAGGGACGGCUAACUACGUGCCAGCAGCCGCGGUAAUACGUAGGUCCCGAGCGUUGUCCGGAUUUAUUGGGCGUAAAGCGAGCGCAGGCGGUUUGAUAAGUCUGAAGUUAAAGGCUGUGGCUCAACCAUAGUUCGCUUUGGAAACUGUCAAACUUGAGUGCAGAAGGGGAGAGUGGAAUUCCAUGUGUAGCGGUGAAAUGCGUAGAUAUAUGGAGGAACACCGGUGGCGAAAGCGGCUCUCUGGUCUGUAACUGACGCUGAGGCUCGAAAGCGUGGGGAGCGAACAGGAUUAGAUACCCUGGUAGUCCACGCCGUAAACGAUGAGUGCUAGGUGUUGGAUCCUUUCCGGGAUUCAGUGCCGCAGCUAACGCAUUAAGCACUCCGCCUGGGGAGUACGACCGCAAGGUUGAAACUCAAAGGAAUUGACGGGGGCCCGCACAAGCGGUGGAGCAUGUGGUUUAAUUCGAAGCAACGCGAAGAACCUUACCAGGUCUUGACAUCCCGAUGCUAUUUCUAGAGAUAGAAAGUUACUUCGGUACAUCGGUGACAGGUGGUGCAUGGUAGUCGUCAGCUCGUGUCGUGAGAUGUUGGGUUAAGUCCCGCAACGAGCGCAACCCCUAUUGUUAGUUGCCAUCAUUCAGUUGGGCACUCUAGCGAGACUGCCGGUAAUAAACCGGAGGAAGGUGGGGAUGACGUCAAAUCAUCAUGCCCCUUAUGACCUGGGCUACACACGUGCUACAAUGGUUGGUACAACGAGUUGCGAGUCGGUGACGGCGAGCUAAUCUCUUAAAGCCAAUCUCAGUUCGGAUUGUAGGCUGCAACUCGCCUACAUGAAGUCGGAAUCGCUAGUAAUCGCGGAUCAGCACGCCGCGGUGAAUACGUUCCCGGGCCUUGUACACACCGCCCGUCACACCACGAGAGUUUGUAACACCCGAAUCGGUGAGGUAACCUUUUGGAGCCAGCCGCCUAAGGUGGGACAGAUGAUGGGGG